CCCAAAAUUAUGUAACUUCUCCACAGGAUAAGAUCCGAUCCUACAGUAAAUAGAAAGGUGCCACUUAUUCAUCUGAAGAAGCAAAAGGAAAUGCUUUCAACCCAGAUCCCAGACACAGAGAGGAGCCCAGGUUUAAAAGCUCCUCCCUGCCAAGGACAGAGUGCCACUCAACUCCAUCUUUGCCCAUAAGUCUCCCUGGGGGACGUCUGGCAAUAGCUAGAGACAUUUGGGGAUGUCAAAACUAGGAAGGACGCUACUGCAUCAGGAAAAGAAGCAAGGGAAGAGUGAAAACACUGGCUUGGAAUGAGCUCUGAUCAUGUCUACUCUCUCCUACUCCUACUUUUUCUUGGAGCUACAAAGAUAAAUUGUUUGAGUCUUUAGGAGAGCCUAACUCCUUAUUCAAGUAUUUCCUUGCUCCUGGAUGUGGAAAAAUUGCUUAAAUAAAAACUACUCAAAAGAAA
rnacentral:lncRNA from 10 species